GGCCCGGUAGCGGAUGGUUUCCGCGCCUGCAUCCUAUGAUAGCGUACAGAAGCAAGUUGACAUCAUGCGGGAGGCGCUCGUUCGACUCGAGCCUGGGCCA